rnacentral:rRNA from 1 species
AACGCGAAGAACCUUACCAAGGUUUGACAUGCAGGGAAAAGCCGUAGAGAUACGGUGUCCGUAAGGGUCCUGCACAGGUGGUGCAUGGCUGUCGUCAGCUCGUGUCGUGAGAUGUUGGGUUAAGUCCCGCAACGAGCGCAACCCUCGUCCUAUGUUGCCAGCGGAUAAUGCCGGGGACUCAUAGGAGACUGCCGGGGUCAACUCGGAGGAAGGUGGGGAUGACGUCAAGUCAUCAUGCCCCUUAUAUCUUGGGCUGCAAACAUGCUACAAUGGCCGGUACAGAGGGCUGCGAGACCGCAAGGUGGAGCGAAUCUCAAAAAGCCGGUCUCAGUUCGGAUUGGGGUCUGCAACUCGACCCCAUGAAGUCGGAGUCGCUAGUAAUCGCGAAUCAGCAACGUCGCGGUGAAUACGUUCCCGGGCCUUGUA